rnacentral:lncRNA from 1 species
CGUGCUGGUGCAGUUAGUAAGGUGAUGAGUUGAAUCGGCGUUUCUCGUCAACCAGCGCCGACACGAUGUCGGAGACUGGCAUGCUAGCCGUUGCUGUCACGCUGCUGAGCAUCGUCGUACCUUUCGCAAGCUGUCACGGAAAAGCAGAGCACUCGCAACGAGGCCGCCAACAGGAACUCGAAGUCGUCAGCCGAAUCUUGAGUGUCUUCGCGAAGCAAGAGAAAGAUCCGUGCAUACCACGCGGGCGCAUCCUAGCUAUCAUUCGUACUGAAAAAACCAGGUACAGCACCAAUUUGUCCAUCGUAAUGGUGUUCAUAUCCAACCUCGUCUUGAUGUUCAACCUCUUCGUCAUGGUGGUGACACGAUACUUGCGCUACGACAUUCGGAACAGCAUCGGCCAACUCCUCCGAGAGGCCGCCAAUGAAGACAACAUCUCGCUUCUUCCGAGCUCCUUUUAUUAACCAAUUCGAAAGGAGACACUGUGAAAGAUUGGAACCACUACGACAAUACACAGGUUUUACUCGUGC